ensembl:snRNA U6 U6 spliceosomal RNA
GUGCUCAUUUUGGCAGCACAUAUACUAAAAUUGGAACGAUACAGAGAAGAUUAGCAUGGCCCCUGCACAAGGAUGACACGCAAAUUCUUGAAGCGUUCCUUAUUUUU